UACGGCAACAGAAACUGUUGUGAUGGUUUGU
rnacentral:piRNA from 1 species